rnacentral:ncRNA from 1 species
AUAUGUGAUGCUACAACCCAACUGGGGGAUCGCUCGGCUCGAGUGCCGAAGAAGGUCGUGACAAGCUGCGAUAAGCUGCGGGGAGGUGCAUGUAUACCAUGGAUCCGCAGAUUGCCGAAUGGGACUUCCCAAAUAAUCGCGAUGCGAUAGGGAACCCUCCGAAUUGAAGCAUCUUAGUAGGAGGAGGAAAUGAAAUCAAACGAGAUUCCGUAAGUAGUGGCGAAUGAACACGGAAUAGGACAAGCCGAAUCCCGAAACGAAAGUGAGGGAGAUGUGGUUGUCGGUCUAUCGUCUAAGUCAUGGAAGGUGAAGUUGCCUGGAAUGGCACAUCCAUAGAGGGUGAAAGUCCCGUAACCGUACAUGAUAUGACCACGUGACCGUCAAAGAGUAGCAUGCGCUGGAAAUCGCGUGUGAAUGUGGGAGGCAAAUACUUCCAAUCCUAAAUACAACUCGAGACCGAUAGUUUACAAGUAACGUGAGUGAAAGCUGAAAAGUAUCCUUAGCGGGAUGUGAAAAGAACGUGAAACCAGUUGGGUACAGGCUGAUUGGGCGUGAAAGCGAAGAUAUGAGCAGCGUCCAGUCGUGCGUUUAGAAAAAUGCCCCAGGGAGUCUUGAUCAUUGGCGAGGUUAAGUGGUUGAUCCACGUAGCCGAAGGGAAACCGACAAGUCCGCAGCAGUUUACUGUGAGGGACGAAGUGUGCUCGCUUGGAGUCAAUGGUGGAGGACCUGAAGCCCGACGAUC